GACGAACGCUGGCGGCGUGCUUAACACAUGCAAGUCGAACGGAAAGGCCCUGCUUUUGUGGGGUGCUCGAGUGGCGAACGGGUGAGUAACACGUGAGUAACCUGCCCUUGACUUUGGGAGAACUUCAGGAAACGGGGGCUAAUACCGGAUAGGAGCUCCUGCUGCAUGGUGGGGGUUGGAAAGUUUCGGCGGUUGGGGAUGGACGCGCGGCUAAUGAGCUUGUUGGUGGGGUAGUGGCUUACCAAGGCUUUGACGGGUAGCCGGCCUGGGAGGGUGGCCGGGCUCAUGGGGCCUGCGGUACGGACCAGAGUCCUACGGGAGGCAACGGUGGGAAAUCUUGCCCAAUGGGCGGGCGCCUGAUGCGGCAGCGCCGCGUUCGGGAUGACGGCCUUUUGGUUGUGAACCGCUUUCGCCUAUGACGAAGCGGUAGUGACGGUAAUGGGUGAAGAAGCACCGGCUAACUACGUG
rnacentral:rRNA from 1 species